rnacentral:sRNA from 1 species
GAGGGAAAAAGAAAGAGAGUGGAAGGCGAGAGCGGAAAGAAACAGCAUUGAAAUAUUUCCAGCCCAAAAUAAACAAAUGGUUUGAAUUCGAAAUCAAUUAUCAAGCAGAAAAAUUGGUAGUGGCUUAUCGCCUUAUCACAAUUACUUUAAAGGCAUUUGUUUUUCUAACUCAGACCUUCUGCUUCCCCCUUUUACCGCCAUCCAGCGAGAUAUGGAAAAUAAAGAAACCAACGGAAUACAGUGGAAUUUCGCAGUUCAAGCACUCAAACUAAUGUACAUAUGUACAUGUACGUACACAUACAUACAUACAUAUAAAUUAAAGUACUUCGUGGUUUGUUUAUAGUUUUUAUUUGCAAUCUCUGCUGAUUUCCCCCCUUAUAUUCUUUUUGCAUGCUCCAUUUAAAAAAGAACAUUUGCAUUUAUUGCAAUCACUGCCAAUUAUUAACUGCUUAUGCUCGUUUUCCAGCAGAAACCAAACAAAAGCAAACUGAGCACAACAAGUUCAUCUAAUGACGUCAUGUCGCUUUAAUGUAAAAAUGUCAGGCACUUGAAACAAUUUUAUUUCUGUGCCGGCGGUUUUCCGACGACUGCCAGCGAACUGGGUCAAUAUCUUAAUUAAUUUUAAUGGGCUUAAUUUAAAGGCAAAGGAAGCGAGCACUAACAAAGUUACAUCAAUCAUUUGCGUAUUUCAAUCGGUCGGAAAAUGGGAGGAACAAAAGGGGUAAAGCCAAUGCUUUCUGCUCUACUUUUGGAAAAUGCGACCGCAGUUACUUUUAAUAUUACAGACCGAGUAGAUAAUGAAACAAACAAUAACUAGGUUGAGCUUGAUUCUUAAAAUUCGUAAUACUAUAUCGGCAAUCUCUUUGGUUUGGAUGUAGGUACAUAUGUAUGUAAUGCGUAUGUAUGUAAAUGCGUAAUGUUUACAUAUUAUGGCUGGUGUUUACUUUUCUUAAUGAGGGAUAACGGAAUCGGAAUCUCUGGAUCGCCGCACAUUCUACAGAUAAUUAAAUAAAAAGGGCGUGAAACCGAAACAAGGCUUAGUAAUACUACAAGCUGAUACAGAUACACCCAACCAGCACACACACAUACACUAGAAUUUAGCGAUAACAACAAAAUGCGGGCAACUGAUUUAUGCAGAAACAGUGAGAAUAAGCGAGAGGAGGGAGAGCAUGAGAUGGAUGAUCAAGCCGGAAGUAAGGUUUUAAGAAAGAAGAGGAGUGUAACAGAUGCAUUUAACAGUAACAACAACAGCGAUCGCUGACAGGUAGGGCAUAUGAAAGGUAGACAAAAGAGAGACAGAGAAGAGCAAGGGUGGAAGGGAGAACUGCAAACUGCGAUUUAUUUAGGGAUGUGUCUCUGUGUGCGCGCGCUCAUAAUGCACGUGCAUUUGUAUGUGUAUUGUGUGCCAGUCUGACCUCGUUGGCAAACUAAAAAAAAAAAUAAUAUUAAAGAGCAUGAAAAUGUGUGGAACAUGGCAGAGCGAAUGAAGGCGGAAAAAGAAGCCGCACCUAAAAAAUCUAUUACAUCACUAGGGAAAAUUGACACAAGUAUUAGACAUUUACAUACACGCACACACAGAACCGCAAGCGUUUAAAGCGUACAAGUGUGUGCGUGAGUGAGCAUGCUGAAAAACGGAAGCAAAUUGAGCAUUGAAAAAUACACUCAUUUUGACCCCUUAAACAUGUGAAAUCCAAUCAAAAGAGAUAAGAUAGUGGGGAAAAAACAUUAUAUGAACGACCACCAAUGAAGGCUACAUAUUUCAGCUAGUCAUUGUAAUAUAGAAUAUGUUGAAAAUGAGAAAUAUUCAUUGAUUUGUCUAAAAUGUACGUAAUGAGCAAAUAGGCUAGAAAGUGGCGAAAUCACAUACAUAUGUACAUAAGUACUUGUUGCUAUGAAACUAAUAUUUCUUAUAAAUAAUGAAAACCUACAGUCAACAGCGUAUACCCGAAAGAAAGCCUACCAAAAAUAUGAUAAAAUGCUUUAAAACCCACUCAAUUUAACAUUUGUGGGAGAAAACUUAAGCUAUGCCGAAACAAAACCAUAACUUGCGUAAACUACAAGUGCAAAAAUGAGUUACAACUGCUCAAAACCCCUCGUAAAAUGAUAAAAUAUCCAAACUAAGUGAAAUUUACGAACGAAGAGCGACAUAAAAAUACAAUCUUAGCCCAUGGCCGACUACAACCACAACUGCUAGAAACUUCUUUUCAAAGGAAAGAAAAAUCAUUGAAAUUAUUCCCCGAAAACGAGAGCGAGGCGGAGAGCGACCGGCGACAAAGCGACAAGUGAGCGUGCGGCGAAUUCAAGAGCCCAAUACUCGCUCGCACUCGCUUGGUUAACUUGGCGUGGGGACGUCGACGUCGGCAGCGUAGCGAAGUUUGUUGAAAUUUUCAAUGUGUGACAACGCGGUUCAGUCUGCCGCCAGCGCGGCCCGAAGCAGUGGUCUGUUACAAAACGCUUUCAUGUUAACGCACACUGUUAGAGGGCGAAUUCGAUGCGAAAGGAUAAAGAUUUGCCGCUGGGGCAGCGAAAAAGAGAGAAAAAACACAUUGGGCGGCAAGUGGUGCACUUUCCAUAGAAAAGUGUUCCAAUGUGCCCAUUGUAAACCAACGAUACUUUCUUACUAUGAAUCGUUCCACACAGCUCUGGGCCAAGAAAAGUAACUAGGAGCAAAAGAAGCAGCCCCGCGUGAUGUCAGACGUCAGCCCGCCCACAAAACACACUCGAAAGGAUUGAAAAAUGCAGACAUUUUUGUUUGGUUUUUAGCAACUCUCUUUUUUUUUUUUUGGUUAAUGUUUAUUGGUUUCUUUUAUGCACCGCUGAAAUGUUAAUAACAGCCCUCGUUACUGUUAAAUGUUCACACUCUCCCUCUCUCAAUUUUUUCUUUGUGGUUUCAAUGAAAGUGAGCUACAAAGCUGCAAAUCGAAAUUCGUAAUGAUUUUGAAUUGAUUGGACUUUUUGGACGAGAAUUAGGAAAGGCGUUUGAUUCUUAGUUGGGUUGAACAAAGAAAUAUACAAAUUAAUAAAAUAUAUGAAAUUUA